AAAAAAUCCGAAUCGCCAUCCGCUCGUCCGCCGCCGAUACCCGGAGCGCCGCCUGACACCGGCCGUCGCAUCCCCAGUCGUCGCCGGCAGCCAAGCGAGCGUCCCCCGCCGCCGCACCUCUCUGCUCGGGCGAACGGGUUCCCGCCGUCCCUCACUCUGCCCCAGGUGAGCGCGGCGCGUGUGUCGCCUUUGCUUCGUCUCGGGCCCGCGCCGCCGCUUUCAUCCCUCCGUUGCCCGGAUCGCGCGGCGCUGAGUGAGCGACGCCGAAGAGAUCUGGAAACUUCGAGGAUGUGCGCUGGCCACCUGGCGUCCCUCCUCCUCGUCGCUCUGCUCUCGGGCUCCUCCCAUCUACUCGUGGCCGGAUCGCAUCAGGAUCAGGAAUUCCAUGGAGCUGCUGGAUCCAGAAUUCUUCUUCAAAAUCCUCACAAACAUGAGGUGCAUUGCUCAAGGGAAAGGAGCCGUGCAGCUUGGGAAGCUAUUGAUGAGUAUUUGAUGCCCUUCAUGGAAAAGGAGAAAUAUGAACUCCCGAGCAAAUGUAGACUUCAUCCUGAUAAUGACAUGUUCCGGGAGCAAGAGCAACAUAAGAUUCAUUUUGAUAUUAAUGAGUGGCGUUGUGGCUUCUGCAAGAAAGCUUUCCGAGCAGAGAAGUUCCUUGACCAACAUUUCGAAAAUCGGCACAAUAAUCUUCUGGAUAAUAGUGAAGGAAGAUGCUUGGCAGAUCUGUGUGGAGCACUUCACUGUGAUCUGAUGAUGGAGUUCAAGAAGCCAAAGAGUAAAUGCAAUGCAGCUGCUGCUGUGAGGAAUCGUCGUCUUUGUGAGAGCCUUGCAGACAGUUGCUUUCCAAUUAAUCAAGGUCUUGCUGCCCGCCGUCUUCAUGAAUUUUUCUUGCGCCAAUUUUGUGAUGCGCACACUUGCGAUCGGGGAACUAAACCUUUCCCCAAAGGCGGCAGGGUUCCCGUUGUGCUUUACUGUACUUGUCCCAUGAUCAGACCGCAAGUACACACAACAGCAUCGCAGAAGCAAACAGAAAUAUAGGACUUCCAUCCUACAGUAGUGUGCCUCACCAUUCCCACAGGCACCUGACUGGGAGUUAGUCCUAGAAAGAACCAACGUCGAAAACCCACAUCCCUCGGCAAGGAACUGAACUGAGGCGGCUCUUCUUCGAACUCUGGAUUUUAAAAUUUUAGCAACAAGGAAACAAACAAACAGGUUUUACUUGGCUCUCUGCGUCUUGACGCUGAUACUUUUGCCCCUGUUUUAUCUCAUAGUGUUCUUACACCAGAGGGAAAUGAGGAAAGGUGUCCAGGAUCUAAAACGGUUUUCAAAAAUUGGGCAGAAGAAAAAACCAUCCUAGUUUACGACAUGCAUAUGUAAACUUGAAGAGGCAAGCAUGUGUAACUUUUGUGAGCUUACGAAGUCAUUCCAUAUUUUUCAAGCUUGAACUGAAGCUCUGUUGAUAGUUGACCCCAAAAAACAUGGGGUUAAUAUGACUGUACAUACAAUUUCAGGAGGCAAACAGUGAUGAAUGUUUUCAUUGUUUCCCAUAUGUCAACAUGCCUGAUUUGGUGCCUCAAUUGUUAUUGUGAUGUGCAUGCAUGUGCUAAUCGCUUUGUGCAUACAGUCUAUAUGCAUCAGCCUUUCAAGGAUUUUGUUUGUAACUCUUACUUUUGUACGUGACCGGUACAUUCUACUCCAUAUAACUUAUCCUUUUUUGGCUGC